rnacentral:lncRNA from 1 species
CUAUUAGCAAGUAAAGGGCUUGAGCCAGAAUGCAAAUCAAUGACUUUAUCAAGAGAGUCUUACUGAAAAAACAAAAACAAACAAAAAAUAUCAACUAAAAAACCAUCAGCAUGUGUUUAGAUUCAUAGCUGAUACUCAUUCUCACACAAUCUCCUCAUCUUUUUUCAGACAGUAACAGACUAUUCCUGGGCCGGCACUGGCACGUGGACCACUUGAAUAGCAUUACUGAAGCUUAAAAAUGAGGUAUCUCUACAUGUGUGGAUGUAAAAAGCAUAUUGAAGACUUUGCUUCUGCAGUUGUUUCAAGCAGAGUGCUUGACAGUGUGGACAGUAUUGAUAAUAACACAUUCAAAGAGAAAAGAAGGCAGUCUGACUUUAGGAACCCCAAAUUAGGCCAAGACAAUGCUGAUGAAAGCAACAGGGGAAGGAGUCUGGAACAGAAUUAAAUGCU